rnacentral:rRNA from 1 species
AGUAAAUUGGUUAAGUUAGAAAGGGCGCACGGUGGAUGCCUUGGCACUAGGAGCCGAAGAAGGACGGGACUAACACCGAUAUGCUUUGGGGAGCUGUACGUAAGCGUUGAUCCAGAGAUUUCCGAAUGGGGGAACCCACUAUCUUUAGUCGGAUAGUAUCCUUACGUGAAUACAUAGCGUGAGGAAGGCAGACCCAGGGAACUGAAACAUCUAAGUACCUGGAGGAAGAGAAA